rnacentral:pre_miRNA from 1 species
CAACUCUCAUCCUACACCGUUGGAUCGAGAAAUUGACGUCCGAGAUUCGUCCACGUCAUCAUAACUCCCAGUAAAUUUUAACUCAUGAGUGAAUCUGCGAGUUAAAUUUUAACUUAUGGUGACGUGAACGAAUCUCGGAUGUCCAUUUCUCGAUCCAACGAUGUAGAAUGAGAGUUG